rnacentral:rRNA from 1 species
AUGCUAAACAUAAAUACAGAGAGGCAAUCAGGCAGUGGAUUUCCGAUAUUGAUGCGAGAAAAAUUCCUUUGGCUCAAAGCCCACUUACUGAUAUUCUCAUGGUGUUUUAACCAAUAUAUAUAUACCAUCGGCUCGACGGCGAGGAGGGAAACCCCGCAGACCGAGGACAGCGCGAUGACUGUGCCGCAUGUGAAGAGCAUGGUCAUGUCAUGGGACCACACAUCGGUGGUGGUCCGCUUGCCUGCUAUGGCGUCAAACACGACUACACCCUUUUACUCGGCCUAUUCGGAUUGGAUUGGGCAGGGUGCUCUUUUGCUUUAA